rnacentral:lncRNA from 1 species
CCCAGACCCAGCCAGCUGUCAAUCACUCUGCUGCCUUCCUCUUCCCUGCUGCAGAUGACUCCCACCAAGGGAACUACAGAUGUGUUUAUGACAAUUAUGUUUUCUCUCAUAACUUCUCCUCUGAGAGUGAGCUCCUCUCCCUCACCAUCACAGCCUCUCCUCUGACAGCCUUCAUCAUCAGACACGUUGUAGUGCUGCUGAUCCUACUGACAGCCAUCACCACCUCCUACCUGUACUACAAGCCCACCAGGAGGCAGAAGACAGUGAACAGGGUGAGCAGCAUGGAUCUUUAUGUCAAUGCCAUGGAGAUGGUCUCUCUGAGCUCCAGAGCUGAAGCUGGACCGGGAGAGGAGAGAGCAGCCCAGGGGACGGAGUAGGAGUAGAAUGAAGCUGACCCUACAUGCUGAUCUUAGGUCAGUUUUGUGUUUUAAAUGGAUGGUCAGCAGUGGACUGGUGUUUAAAAUGUGGUGACAAACCUGAAGUGGUUGUAAUUUUAAUAACAAGUUCAGAAUUAGUUUAUCUUUCUAGAACCUUGGAAGAAAUUUAAAAGGAGUGACUGCAACAUGGUAACGUGGGGUUUUUGAUUAUUU